rnacentral:rRNA from 1 species
AGUGAACGCUGGCGGUAGGCCUAACACAUGCAAGUCGAACGGCAGCACAGUAAGAGCUUGCUCGUACGGGUGGCGAGUGGCGGACGGGUGAGGAAUACAUCGGAAUCUACUUUUUCGUGGGGGAUAACGUAGGGAAACUUACGCUAAGACCGCAUACGACCUACGGGUGAAAGCAGGGGAUAUUCGGACUUUGCGCGAUUGAUUGAGCCGACGGCGGAUUAGCUAGUUGGCGGGGUAAAGGCUCACCAAGGCGACGAUCCGUAGCUGGUCUGAGAGGAUGAUCAGCCACACUGGAACUGAGACACGGUCCAGACUCCUACGGGAGGCAGCAGUGGGGAAUCUUCCACAAUGGGCGCAAGCCUGACGCAGCCAUACCGCGUGAGUGAUGAAGGCCUUCGGGUCGUAAAGCUCUUUUGUUGGGGAAGAACAACAGCGUAUUUAUCCAUCCACGUUCUGACGGUACCCAAACAGUAAGCCACGGCUAACUUCGUG